CGGACCCGACGUGCAGUUACCCCGCACGUUCUCGUCGGCCCCGGGCCGCAGGACUCCGCCGGCCGGUACUGAGGCGCGGCCGUUGUCCCUCCCAUGCCGCACGGCUGGCGCGCUACCGCUCGAGCCACAGCUCCGUGGCCAGCUCUUGGUGGAGAAUUGCCUAAGUGACAUUGUCGUCUUCAGCAAUGGAGAAGAUGAAAGUCGGGGAGGGUAGAAGGUCUAAUAUCCACAUAUAAGAGAGAACAUGCAGCCGGGUGCUGGUGAUUCACGCCUGUAAUCCUAGCUACUAAGGAGGCUGAGAUCUGAGGAUCACAGU